ensembl:lncRNA
UCUCUUCACCUUGCUGAGGCAUCUUCUAGGGAACAUACUUCAGACAACCAGACUAGUGAGACAUUGACAUAACAGGAGGCCACACGUACUCACUGAAUGCUGGAAUUACAGGAAUUUUUAGAAGGAGAGAUUCAAUAGCGAAGGCUUCAUGGAAGACAUGGCAAUUCCAUGUCCAGUUUAAGCAACUCUGACAGUAGCAACUUCACUCUGAUUUUCAUGCCUGGGACCCAGCACAGUCCACUCAACCUGUGCUCAUUAGGGCUUCCGUGAUAGCUUGUUGGUGAAAAAUCUGCCUGCAAUGCAGGAGACCCUGGUUCAAUUUCCAGGUCGGGAAGAUCCACUGGAGAAGGGAUAGGCUACCCACUUCAGUAUUCUUGGGCUUCCCUUGUGGCUCAGCUGAUAAAGAAUCCGCCUGCAAUGCGGGAGACCUCAGUUUGAUCCCUGGGUUGGGAAAAUCCCCUGGAGAAGGGAAAGGCUACCGACUCCAGUAUUCUGGCCUGAAGAAUUCCACGGACUGUAUGGUCCAUGGGGUUGCAAAGAGUCGGACAGAACUGAGCGACUUUCACUUUCCUCAUAUACUUGGAGACCAGGCACCAAGUAGCCUCACCUUCCUUCACCCACAAAUUCCAUUUUACUCUCUCUGUGUCACUGGUAGAAGUUAAAAUCAGACUUUGCAAACAGCUCAGGCCAGUUUAAAAGGAAGAAAAGGUCACGUCCGAAGCCUGGAUUACGUACUUUGUUUGUAUUGUGUGGAUUUUCCCUCAAGGAUCUGCCUCUCCCUUCUUUGUUCUUUCCUUUGAAAUCGAACCCAGCAAACAGCCAUCAAGACUAGCAGCCUGGCUCCAGAGAGGGGUUAUCAAAGGAAGGAGGAGGAGCUUGAGCCUCAUUUUAACUUGCUGACCCUUUCAAAUUCUCCCUCAAGGCUUCGGUUUGGUAAAAGAAAAAUAGUUUAUCCUGGGGAAUAUGUGUUUUCCAUGCCCCCUUAGGAAAUAUCAUCCAUGUGUUUCAAAUUUAUUUUUUGCUU